AUUGAACGCUGGCGGCAUGCCUUACACAUGCAAGUCGAACGGUAACAGGUCUUCGGAUGCUGACGAGUGGCGAACGGGUGAGUAAUACGUCGGAACGUGCCUAGUAGUGGGGGAUAACUACUCGAAAGAGUGGCCAAUACCGCAUGAGAUCUACGGAUGAAAGCAGGGGAUCGCAAGACCUUGUGCUACUAGAGCGGCCGAUGGCAGAUUAGGUAGUUGGUGGGAUAGAAGCUUACCAAGCCGACGAUCUGUAGCUGGUCUGAGAGGACGAUCGGCCACACUGGGCCUGAGACACGGCCCAGACUCCUACGGGAGGCAGCAGUGGGGAAUUUUGGACAAUGGGCGAGAGCCUGAUCCAGCAAUGCCGCGUGCAGGAUGAAGGCCUUCGGGUUGUAAACUGCUUUUGUACGGAACGAAAAGCCCUGGGUUAAUACCCUGGGGUCAUGACGGUACCGUAAGAAUAAGCACCGGCUAACUACGUGCCAGCAGCCGCGGUAA
rnacentral:rRNA from 1 species